UGCAGAUGAUGUGAGCGAAUAUUUGCUAUCUGAGCGGCCGUGCGGACCUCCCUGACCACCAAGAUCGCUGAUGCA